rnacentral:tRNA from 1 species
GGGAGUGGAUGAGGCCCGGUGGUCUCUACGGACUUCAAAUCCGUUGGCUUUUACCCUUCGGUAGAAGUGGUGGGUUCGACUCCCUCGCACUCCCGCCA